ensembl:lncRNA
UGGGGCGUAUGAAGCAAGGUGAUGGUAGCAGAGGGCUUCAGCAGUGAUCUCUGUGAGCAGAGCCCCACAGUGCGCCAUGUCAGAGCACAGCAGCUCCAGCUGCUCCAACAGGGCCCCACUGCUGCCAGAGAACAACUGCUGCACAGCUGGGAGAGAGGGGGGAGCAACGAGAGAGCAGCGGCCCUGAGAGCACCGGGCUCAGGGCAGGAGGUGGGCAGGAGGCACUCCAGCAGCUCCAUGCAGCCCAGGACAGGCCCACGGAGGAGCAGGCCGUCCCCUGCAGCCCAUGGGCACCAGGAGGAAGAGUGAGAGCAGCGUGGGAUGUUGAGCUGCCUACUGGUGUGAAACAACCACAGCCAUAAAGCUGUGCCCCCCGUAUGCAGCUGGUGUAUACAGAUGCGAGCAGAAGGGGAAAGAAGAAAAGAGUAGUUGUUUGUUCUCCUUCACAGCUGUGCAGAACAGAUUCUUCAGCACCUCCGAAGAGCCAGUCUUCAGGACACAGAGGCUGAAUCAUAUCCUGCACUUCCAACAACCGUUAUUAAUCACAAAAAUAUCUUCCCAAAGAAAUACUGCAAAAUCCUUCACUGAAAUCUCAUUGUUGGCUGUUGGUUUCUCCACUGGCAAAUACUCAGAUGAAGCACUGAGAAAUGAAAAGGAGGGAGUUCAUGCACCUGCCUCGUUCUAUAUCCAUGUAUGUCAAUCUGAAAGGGCUGAGACUAAAAAUAAUUGGUGAAAGAAAAGCAAAUUAAUAUGAAAUGACUUAAAAUUAGGGCUCUGAGUUCUGUGGAGAAAAGAACUGGUCAGCUAAUCUCAGACUUGCUGUCUUUGUGUCACUUCCACUUAUUAAGAGUUUUUCAGUUGACAGGUAUGCAAUUUAUGCUUAGAUUUGAAUAAAAAUUGCAGGGUGAAUGCUAGAGAAGUACAAUGAAAUCAGAUGACUGAAUCAAAAGUUCUUCCAACUUUUUUUGUUUGUUUCUAUUAGUGCCUUUGAGUAGGCUCAUUAUGGGUUGAAAAGUUAUUUCUGAGAAAAUAUACAUGAGUUAGGAUGGAACUCUGAAAAAUCAGUCAUGAAUACCUUCAUUUUGAUGAGUUGCUUUCAUGAAUCAAAACUGAUGGAACUGUUCAGAACAAGUUUGGAUCACAAGAGCUGCAUGAGGCUGUACACGGUCUGAGUUUUCUCUCCACAGUGACAGAGACCAGACCAUAAAGGCUAAUGACAAUACUUAAGAUUUUGAUGUCUUGCUCGCAUGAACAAAAUUCAUGAGUGUUUUCUUUCUUUUUUUCUCUUACUGAGCAGAAGAGAAAAUAUCCUAGGUGUUGUUUUUUUUUUUCCCCAUAACCUUGGGCAAUUCAGACGCUGAUAGAACAGCCUGAAGAUCUUUGUAAUUUGAACCAGCUGACAAUGAUCACUUCAGGAGCCCAGGCUCUUUGAAAAUUGCCAUAGUUUACUGACUGACAGUUACUUCUCCUAUCUGUCUUAAACUGCAAAAUGCCCUAAAGGAAUUGCAGAAAGGGAAGCAUAAAGACUGAGUGAUAAGCUCUAUAUCAUUGCAGAAUUGCCAGGAGAGUAUUUAUAGCCAAAAAAGGAGAAGUUAAUAACCAGUAGCUUUCAGGCUACUCAUACUUGCUCCCAGACCACAGCCAUGACCAUGUCAGUACUGGUGGGUCAUUGUCUGCAAAACCUCUGCAACCCGCUGGUCCCUGAGGGAUACUUUGGGUCCAUGACAUUUGCCACCAGGUUUAAUGAGCUGAUGUUUCAUGGUUCUUUGUAAUAAAUAACUUGGUGCUCUAUUUUGAAGCAGGCUAAACCUUCAGCCAUCUUGCUGCUAGAUAAGCUGAACCAUCCUUUUGCCGAUCUCUCCCCCUUUCCUCUGGAAGGAGCCAUUUCAGAAGGUUGAAGCUGCAAAGUCAAAUAAACCUUCUGGGGAACUUUCCUUCUCUGCCUUUCUGAAAUGCUUUCUAAUUCACCAGGCAAGUGAAUUAGUUGUAACACCUACACUGUAGCUGGCUGAAAUGCAGUGAGAAGAAUUUAGUGCAGAAAAAAUCUUCACUCAGUUUCAAUACCGGACUUUGAAAUAUCUCAGCUUCUACUUCAGCCUGUAAUUUUGAUUGAUGAACCUCACAUUUUGAUUUCCUUUGAACAGUGACCAUGGCUUUCAAGGGGAAAUAUUUAGCUUGUACAUGUAAAGAAGGGGCCAGUGUUCAAAAGCAACUACAAAACUGUUCUUGAUCAACUCAGCUGAAACCAACGGCAUGCCUGUAGUCUCUCUAUAUAAUUCUACAUGAAGACAUGAGAAAAAAAUCUAGAUGAAAUAAAGCUGCCUUCAGGCAGUUUUACUUCGCAAUGGAAGAGACGAUUCAACUGAUUGCUAUAUUGCAGACAGCAUGGUUCCUUGCUGCAUGGCAGGGAUAAUACUUAUUUUCAUAUGGAUGGGCUGUUCUUGAUUAAUUUCUUUGUGAUUGAAAGCUCAGGUAGGGCUCUGGAGACAUCACUUCUAUAACUGCUAAGCAGGGCCACACCAUGGUUACCUAAACAUGUGCUCAAAUGUGUGAUCUUUCACUGCAUUGAAUCAAUAGCAGCUCAGAGAUAAUGUUCGUUGCUGCUGAGGGCUGCAGGAGGAAGCUCAGGCCCUGUAGGGCCGUGAUGAGGGCAGAGAAGAGGGUCUGUCCAGUUCUGCUCUCCAGGUGUGCAGGGAGAAGAAAAGAGGGGAAACGAAAAAGAGCCCCAGUACUGCGAUAGCGGGAAUGUGGAGAGGUGGAUGAGAAAAAAUUGUGAAUGGCUUUGGAGGUUGAGGAGGUGUAUGGAGCUGAAACUGAGUGCUGUCAUCUCUGAGGCUACAUGAGGUGCCUGUGGGGGUCUGGAAACAGGAGGAGUGCCCCAUUAAGAGCAUCACUCAUGAGCAAUGUCCAACAGAGCCUGGAGAAGAGCUCCCAACAGUCUAUUCCCAUGCAUAUUGAUUUUUUCUUUAAAAAACAUUCGGAGUAUUUAUGAAAUCAUGUGGAAAAUGCUCCUUGGCAAACAUUAGCCACUUCUUGGAGUUUUCUAAUGGAAAGCAAUCUGGACUUUGAAAUUUAUAAAAUGUAAUGUGAACGUGCAAGAUCCAUUUGUUUCUCUUUGAAAUCCAGCUGAAAAAUGUGCCACCCUAGCCUCCAAUUUGAAUCUGCAAGAAUACCCCUUUGGGGGAUAUUCUGUGAUUUUACAUGAAUUCCCCUGUUUAUUUCAAAUUGCUUUCUUGAAAUCCUUACUAUGAAAUGCAGUGGGUGGAGGGAGAGAAACACUCAGCAGGGCAUAUCUGCCUCUGGCUCCAGAUAAUUAAAUAUUUAAAUAUUAAUUCGGGGGGGGGGGGGGGGGGGGGGGGGGGGGUGUUGUUGUUUUUUUAUUAUUAAGUAUAUUAUUUGUAAUAAGUGUGCAAGCAGCCCAGAGGCUGGCCAAGAACAGAAGCAAGAUCAAAACACACAUGAGAGACGGGGAAUGAAAGAAAUGGGAAAACAGGAGAAGAAGUGCCUCCGGACAACAUUUUACAAUUUUUAGAUAAGUUUUGAAAAUGUAUUGACUCAUUCUCCCCCGUACUUAUGUAGCUGCACUCUCUGUGACUGUGUGGAAGGGGAAAACAACUGAGUGACAUAGUCUUGGAGUUUUACCAAUGCUACUGAAAGAGAACAUACCAUUUUACAGUUACCUGUUGGGUGGCUUUUUUUUAAAGCAUUCAUCCUGUCUGGCAGUUGGCUCUCCUACAGAACAGGUGAAAUUUAAAAGAACGAAUAUCACGCUCUUCCAAGUAAAUCUAUUCAUUAUAAAUUGUGAGGAAAACACUUGGAUGGGUUCUCAAAUACGAUGAAUAAAUUAAGUUUCUCUUGGGUAUGUCUAAUUUAUGUUAUCUGUAAACUUGAAUGGUACAACUGCAGCACUAAAAGCUCAAUAGACUUUAUCUUGUCUGGUAUCAUUGGCAGCUGUCCAGUAAAGCACUUACACAUGGCUUAAUUUUAAGGACAUGAUGCCCUGGUUUCAAGCCAUAGUACCCAGCAGCAUACUGGAAUAAUUCAGUCAUAAGCAUUUUGAAAAGCCAUGCGACAAAUACAAACCUGCUGCUUCUUAAAGACACCUAUAUGCAGUUGAUUCAAACACAUUAUUUUACCAGUAUGUGUUGAAGAUACACCUAGAAUAUUCCUUUUCUUUCUAGCUUUUUUUCCCUUAGUACUAAGCAUAUUUAGCAGAAUUGUUUGCAGUUUAACAUCACGAUAAAUAAUAAUUCACUUCUUUUGAAUCUGUAUUUGAUAAAGAGAACAGGAUAAAAUGGAGGGCUAAUGUGCAUUUCUGAGAUGUCAAUUUUUCCUUGCUGUUCUUGCUGAAAUAUAGCCACAUCUUGUCAAAUUAGGAUUCCUGGAGAUUCUGUCGGUGAAUACAUGUUUAAUUCUUUCACCUUGUUAUGAACAUAUUAUUAGACUUUCAUAUCUGUCAUUUACUUACCACAAAUGCCAGCAGUUGCUUUUCCUCCCCCAACUUUCUCUUUUUUUUAGCAGAAGAAUAUUUUGCUCCUCCAGCUUCAAUCCAAACAACUAGAAUAACUAGAAUAACAAAAAAAAUGCAUCUUGUUGUAGCAUUUCAAUUUACGCCCUGCAAAACUCAUGAUUUAGAAAUCUUCCUUUUUUUUUUUUUUUAACAGAACAAUGAAAGAGCCAUGCCCUUCUCAUGAUUGAUAAGGGUUGUAAGCAUUACGUGCACUGAAGGAUAAACUCCUAUCUCCAAAAUCUGUGAGGGCAGGCAAGACAUAUUUAUCAGAAAUCACCUCUUGGCCUUAAAUUCUGUAAGUCAUCUUAACAGUACUUCCACUCAGAGGCUGACCAAGUAGUACAAGCUUAAAUUCUAGGAAAUCAUCCCUCCUGGUACACAAAGUCACCAUUAUAUUACAAAAUGAAACUAUUCAUUUAAACUGGAUUCUGUGGAUAAACUGCACUUAUUUACAGAAGUCUUCAUUGGUCACUUCUGAGAUCUUUUUGGAUGAUUAUUUUUACAACGGCCUAUUUCAUUUGGUACCAUGUCUUCAAGAGUUGUUUCAGGAGGACAGUGUCUUCAGUAAGUCAUAACUCUUUUUUGAUCUCCACAUGCUAGCAAUUCUGUCUGUAUGGAGGUUUGUCCUGAUACCAGCUGGCAUGGCUGGGGGUCAUGCGAAUGGAAAAGUAGAUAUGACCAAAUUAGCUGUUAUUAGGAAUACUGGAAAUUGGCAAUUAUGAACUGUAUGGCAUCUGUGUAUAAUGUAGCACUCCGGUCUUGCAGACAUCUGAACAAGAUGGGUCAAAUGUCAAACCAGCCUCUAGAGGGAUGUCUGAACAAUUGCUUCCUUCUUUGUGCAUGUAUAUGAACAUUGCCUUUAAAAUAAGGAAAGUGAGAUAAUACACAGGACAGGUUUGUUUUUACGAAGAAAAAAAUAGGUUGCAAAAUGAACUAGCUAGGAAAGGCAGCCAGCAAAGAAGCUCACAUAAUUUCUUGUUUUAGGUGCUAAAAGGAGAUUUGAGGUUUUGUUCAUCUAUGGUGUACUUCUGAAAAGCUUCCACAUUCCACCCUGAAGUUGUAUGCACUUAAAGCUGGACAAUGAUGUGAUGCACGACAUUGUAUUACCCAAACAGGGAAGAAUUUUUAUUUUGCAUAUAGAUUUAACAAAAAGAUGCAGAGAAAUUUUCAACAUACCAUGUACCUUAUUGUGAGGUUCAUAAAUCUCAAUUUUCUUUGACUUUUGUCCUUGAUCCAACAGAAAUACUAAUUCUAAUCCUCAUAAUAUUGAGCAAUUUAUUUUCGCUGCCAGCAAUCUUCAAAGAAGAGUGUUUUUUUGUUGUUGUUGUUGUUGUUUUUCCUGUUAUCUUCAAUAGCACUGAUACAGACAGAAAACAAAUGACACAGGAAGACUGAGCUUGUGGUUAUAGCAUGAGGCAGUAUCAAAACAAUGAAGGGAAGCCUGUGCCUCUUACCUUUUAGCCAGUGCACUGAACUUCUGCAGCUGAAUGCUUUCAGUGAAAGUCAGGCGAUGAGUGCCAUAUUGCUAAAUGAAUUUAAUUUAUUAAUGGGUCACAAACCUGUUAAACAAUUUCUGAUGUGAAUACAAUUAUAGCUGAUUGUGUGAUAUUGCAUAGUCUACUGGACCACAAUUAGCCGAGGAAAUGCUAAUUAAAACUGAACUAAAAAAGUUUGUCAAUGUUUAUGUAGUCUCGUCUUUCUUGUGUUUUUAUAACUGCUGCUUGCAGUACAAUUAAAGGUAUAAGCCACUAAUCAAUUCAAGGUCAAAUUGUACAGCCUUUCUUAAAAAUAAGAGGGAAAUGAGCUAACAGAACUGGAAAUAUCAGCAAGGCAAAGCACAAGAACCCUAAUAGAUUUACUGACCUUUACUCUUCAGAUGGGUUAGUAGUCAUUAUAAUGCUGUGAAU